rnacentral:rRNA from 1 species
GACGGGUGGGUAACACGUGGAUAACCUACCUAUAAGACUGGGAUAACUUCGGGAAACCGGAGCUAAUACCGGAUAAUAUAUUGAACCGCAUGGUUCAAUAGUGAAAGACGGUUUUGCUGUCACUUAUAGAUGGAUCCGCGCCGCAUUAGCUAGUUGGUAAGGUAACGGCUUACCAAGGCAACGAUGCGUAGCCGACCUGAGAGGGUGAUCGGCCACACUGGAACUGAGACACGGUCCAG